AGGAAGUACACAGGGAUUGCCCCCACAAAUCUGAGACGUAGACAUGUAAGGUCCUGCUCUUGUGUAAAGAUCUCUCAGUAUAGGAAUACUGAUUCUGGAAUCAUCUCCAUUAUAUUGGUUUAUCUUUUUAAGACGGUUGUUUCCAAGCUGCCUUACUAUGAAGAUUCAUUACCUUUUCUUGGCUCUUCUUUUCUCUGGCCUCUUAUCUGCUGCAGGAGCUGAAGAUGAUCAUGUCCUCUCUAGUUUUCUGGAGUGUAAAAAUAAGACACUGUGUGAUUCUUCAGAUGAAAAACAAAACUGCUCUUACGCUAACAAGGAGGUUGGAAUAUGUGUCUUGCGUCUUAGAAAGCAUGGAAAGCAAAUAGUCAUGAAGAAAUAGAAAAUCAGGAAGACAAAUCAAUCAACUCCCUUGUCUCAUCAAAAAAUAAAGUCAGUCUUCCUUUCUC